rnacentral:rRNA from 1 species
UGGGGGAAUAUUGGACAAUGGGGGCAACCCUGAUCCAGCCAUGCCGCGUGAGUGAUGAAGGCCCUAGGGUUGUAAAGCUCUUUUGUGCGGGAAGAUAAUGACGGUACCGCAAGAAUAAGCCCCGGCUAACUUCGUGCCAGCAGCCGCGGUAAUACGAAGGGGGCUAGCGUUGCUCGGAAUCACUGGGCGUAAAGGGUGCGUAGGCGGGUUUCUAAGUCAGAGGUGAAAGCCUGGAGCUCAACUCCAGAACUGCCUUUGAUACUGGAAGUCUUGAGUAUGGCAGAGGUGAGUGGAACUGCGAGUGUAGAGGUGAAAUUCGUAGAUAUUCGCAAGAACACCAGUGGCGAAGGCGGCUCACUGGGCCAUUACUGACGCUGAGGCACGAAAGCGUGGGGAGCAAACAGGAUUAGAGUACCCUGGUAGUCCACGCCGUAAACGAUGAAUGCCAGCCGUUAGUGGGUUUUACUCACUAGUGGCGCAGCUAACGCUUUUAAGCAUUCCGCCUGGGGAGUACGGUCGCAAGAUUAAAAACUUAAAGGAAUUGACGGGGUCAUAGCUGUUUCCU